rnacentral:rRNA from 1 species
UCAGACGAUGCGUCAUGCAUAUCAAUAAGCGGAGGAAAAGAAACUAACAAGGAUUCCCCUAGUAACGGCGAGUGAAGCGGGAAGAGCUCAAAUUUGAAAUCUUAAAGGGUUUCCCUUUACGAAUUGUAGUUUAAAGAAGUGUUUUCUGUUGAGGUUUUGGUAAAAUGUUCUUUGGAAUAGGACAUCAUAGAGGGUGAGAAUCCCGUAUUUGACCUUUACUUUCAACUUUGUGAUACACUUUCAAAGAGUCGGAUUGUUUGGGAAUGCAGUCCAAAAUGGGUGGUAAAUUUCAUCUAAAGCUAAAUAUUGGCGAGAGACCGAUAGCGAACAAGUACCGUGAGGGAAAGAUGAAAAGAACUUUGAAAAGAGAGUUAAACAGUACGUGAAAUUGUCAAAAGGGAAGCGUUUGACACCAGUGUUGUUUUUCUGAAAAUCAAUUAAAGAACUGUUUAUGCUAAGCUGUUUAGACUUUAUCAGCUAUACUGUUUAGUUUUGAGCUUUUCUUUAAUGCACUUUUCAGUUAACAAGUCAACAUCAAUUUCUUUUGCUGUAAAAAAGCUUGAGGAAGGUGGCUUGAGAUUCGUCUUAAGUGUUUAUAGCCUCUUGCCUAUGCAGUCGGAGAGAUUGAGGUCUGCAGCGUAGAUCCUUCGGGGCUAAAUGCAUUUGUGCUAAGUCAUAGCAUUUUAUAGACAACUUGUUGACUAUGAUUUGUCUUGUAGCUUACUCGCUUAUGUUAUUUUACCUACGCUUAGGAUGUUGAGCGCAUGUCUCUCUCU